rnacentral:rRNA from 1 species
UCUGUAGCGGGUCUGAGAGGAUGAUCCGCCACACUGGAACUGAGACACGGUCCACGACUCCUACGGGAGGCAGCAGUGGGGAAUUUUGGACAAUGGGGGCAACCCUGAUCCAGCCAUGCCGCGUGAGUGAAGAAGGCCUUCGGGUUGUAAAGCUCUUUCGGCCGGGACGAAAUCGCACGGGCUAAUAUCCUGUGUGGAUGACGGUACCGGAAUAAGAAGCACCGGCUAACUACGUGCCAGCAGCCGCGGUAAUACGUAGGGUGCGAGCGUUAAUCGGAAUUACUGGGCGUAAAAGCGUGCGCAGGCGGUUUGAUAAGACAGGCGUGAAAUCCCCGGGCUUAACCUGGGAACUGCGCUUGUGACUGUCUCACUAGAGUACGGCAGAGGGGGGUGGAAUUCCACGUGUAGCAGUGAAAUGCGUAGAGAUGUGGAGGAACACCGAUGGCGAAGGCAGCCCCCUGGGCCGAUACUGACGCUCAUGCACGAAAGCGUGGGGAGC